rnacentral:rRNA from 1 species
AACGAACGCUGGCGGCAGGCUUAACACAUGCAAGUCGAACGGUUGUAGCAAUACAGCAGUGGCAGACGGGUGAGUAACACGUGGGAACCUUCCUAGGGGUACGGAACAACUCAGGGAAACUUGAGCUAAUACCGUAUACGUCCGUGAGGAGAAAGAUUUAUCGCCCUUAGACGGGCCCGCGUCGGAUUAGCUAGUUGGUGGGGUAACGGCCUACCAAGGCGACGAUCCGUAGCUGAUCUUAGAGGAUGAUCAGCCACACUGGGACUGAGACACGGCCCAGACUCCUACGGGAGGCAGCAGUGGGGAAUCUUGGACAAUGGGCGCAAGCCUGAUCCAGCCAUGCCGCGUGAGUGAAGAAGGUCUUCGGAUUGUAAAGCUCUUUUGCCAGGGACGAUAAUGACGGUACCUGGAGAAUAAGCCCCGGCAAACUUCGUGCCAGCAGCCGCGGUAAUACGAAGGGGGCUAGCGUUGUUCGGAAUUACUGGGCGUAAAGCGCACGUAGGCGGGUCGUUAAGUCAGGGGUGAAAUCCCGGAGCUCAACUCCGGAACUGCCUUUGAUACUGGCGAUCUUGAGAUCGGAAGAGGUGAGUGGAAUUCCCAGUGUAGAGGUGAAAUUCGUAGAUAUUGGGAAGAACACCAGUGGCGAAGGCGGCUCACUGUCCGAUACUGACGC